rnacentral:rRNA from 1 species
GAAACGGAUGGGCGCUCGAAGUCCCGAGGCGGCGGGAUUCAGUCGGUCCGUCCCACCGCCCGAGGGGAGAGAAGGGGCACCGGCGCGGACCGAGCAGAACACGGACCCCUGCAGACGCGGGGGCCGGGUCCGCGUCCGGAGAUUCGGAGAGACGCCUCACGGACCCGACGCACUUCCCGUCGCCCGAACGGACGCCGCAGCCGGUCGGGCGAAGACACGAGUCGGCCGAGAGGACGGGCGACAGGUGGCUCGCCGGACGGAGACCUCGCUCUCCGACCGGUCCGUGGCCCGCCCAUGGUUUCCGAGGCGCGACGCCCGACCGAGGCAGUUGUAUCUGUGCGUCCCCUCCCCGGGACGAACGGCCCCUGCAACCGGGGGAGUCGUCUCCGGAGGCGAGACGCGCGGCGGCGGGACGCGAGAGCCCGCGUCGUCUCGGACCGGAGUGCCGAGCGACGCCCGGGCCCGCGUCCUCGAGGUCGCCGACCGGUGCGUCCGGAGGGAGACCGCCAGGCUAGCGGCGAUAGAGGUCGGUUGCCCAUCCGACCCGUCUUGAAACACGGACCAAGGAGUCUGACGCGCGCGCGAGUCGCCGGGUCUUGAACAGGCCCGCGGGCGCAACGAAAGCGGAGGCCGCGAUCCCCCUUCUCCAAGGUGUCGGAGGGUCGCGAGCCGGGUCGGGAUCCCGGGUCCCCGGAGACUCGGGCGCACCGACGGCCCGCGCCGUCGACCGGACGAGAGUCCGGUGGCGCGUGGUCUGAGCGCGCGCGGCGGUACCCGAAAGAUGGCGAACUAUGCCGGGGCAGGACGAAGUCAGAGGAAACUCUGAUGGAGGUUCGAAGCGCUUCUGACGUGCAAAUCGAUUGCCAGACCUCGGUAUAGG